rnacentral:rRNA from 1 species
UACGAAGGGGCUAGCGUUGUUCGGAUUUACUGGGCGUAAAGCGCACGUAGGCGGAUUGUUAAGUCAGGGGUGAAAUCCCGGAGCUCAACUCCGGAACUGCCUUUGAUACUGGCAAUCUUGAGGCUGGAAGAGGUUAGUGGAAUUCCCAGUGUAGAGGUGAAAUUCGUAGAUAUUGGGAAGAACACCAGUGGCGAAGGCGGCUAACUGGCCAGACGUCUGACCGCUGAGGUGCGAAAGCGUGGGAGCAA